rnacentral:lncRNA from 1 species
AGUAGCUUGCACUGUUGCCCAGGCUGGUGUGCAGUGGUGCGAUCUUGGCUCGUUGCAACCUCUGAUUCCCAGGUUCCUCUUCCCUGAUUCCUGCCUCAGCCUCCCGAGUAGCUAGGAUUACAGGCACCUGCCACCACGCCCGGCUAAUAUUUUGUAUUUUUACUAGAGACUAGGUUUCACUAUGUUGGCCAGGCUGGUCUCGAACUCCUUACCUCGUGAUCCGCCUGUCUUGGCCUCCCAAAGUGCUGGGAUUACAGGCGUGAGCCACUGUGCCC